GCUGCACCUCUCUGUGGGGAAGACCCCUUCCCCCAGGUCCAGAGCACAUUCCGGAGGAGAGCCAAAGUCUCGGAAAUCCAGAGCCUGAUGCAAAACAACUCCUACUCAAACAAUAGUAGCUCUCCUCCCUGGAGCCCACAACCGGACUGCCCAGGUGGGGAAACUGAGGCCUGGAGGGCCCCACCCAUAUGGACAGGCAGCUGGACUGGGAGCCAGGGGGCCUAGGUUUCUCCCUCAGUGCUGCGUGACACCAGGACCCUCCUUUCCCCUGGUCUCUGUGUUCUCAGCUUCCAGGGGUGACUGGGGACCCCCUGCUGGUGUCCCUGUGGGCCAGUCCCUGUCCUGGCCCCCAGAGAGGACAGAACAUUGGGGGCAGGGGGAAGGGGCUGGUGCCUGCGACGACCCCCCUGCCCAGGGCCCUCAAGACCACCCUCGGGGCCCUGGGAUGCUGCAGCUGUAGGCCCACACACCCCACCGGGGCCUAGCCCAGCCCAUACCUGAUGGUGCUGCCUGACAGCCCGCUGGAUGAUUCCGGCACAGCGGGCAAUCAAGUAGGACAGUGUGAGCAUCGCUGCCCAGCCCCUUCUCCCAGCAAGCUCCCGGGGGUGCCCAGCCCUGGGCCCCCAGAGGCCAGGCAGGAGCCCCCGGUGUAGGCAGGCCCUCCCACCAACACGUACUGGGGCUGGAAUGUUCUGGGCACCAUGUUCUCCAGGAGGCGAGGAGGGCAAGGGUAGGAGGGGCCGAGGCUCGUCCUUGUUUGGGGCCUUGUUCUCACAGUACCCUGAGGAGGGGCUGACCUAUACAAGGCUCCCCCGCCCCCCACCCCCCAUGACCUCACGGCUCUGGCCCCAGGAUCCUGCCUGGCCCAGAUGCUGGGUGCCCGCAGGUCAGGGAGACAGUCUAGCCAGGGCAGGGUGCAAGGAGCCACAGCCCUGCCACAGAGGCACUGAGGGGCCUGGUAGGGUGGCCUCUGUAACAGGCAAGUUCCUCGUCCUCACCAGGCAGGCGGGCAGCUCCUGCGGGCCCCCACUCCGUGACAUGCCAUACCAGGGGGGGGCGCUAUUUUUCUAAAACGGGGUGUGGGCCACUUGGUGUGGACACUGAUGGGUGCCACAGGACGGCCCCUCCCCUCCCCAACUCGCCAGGCCCAGGAAUCCGACCUCCAGCCCAGGGCAGGGGGUGAAUGACCACAGCCCAGCCCGCUAUUUGCUAAGUUGGCAGGAACUCGACCCAUGUGGGAGGGGGGGCGGGGGCAGCAGGGAGCCUCUGCUUGGGGUUCUCAACUGCCAGCUUCUCCCCCUGGUCCUCCCCGCUCAGAGCUGCAACCAGACAUGGCAGGGUGGGGGGGACAGCUCUCCAGGGGGUACCCCUCGGUCAUCAUCCUCAGGAGGGGGCCCCAGAAUUCAGCCCAGGACCCUUGGGAAUGUAACUCUGGGGAGCGGCCGUAGUGAAGACGGGGCUGUGCAUUUAGCUGAUGCUCCGUGAGUAGCAAUGACCACUACCGCUGCGCACAGUCACCCUGAUUUCUGGCUCCGGCACACGAUCCCCACCUUGUGGGGCAGAAGAUGCCCCAGGUCCGGCUGGCAAGGUGGUUUUGGUGCAGGGAAAGCGUGUCUGGGUGGCUUUGGUUUCCUGUUGUCGGUUCGAAUGAGCAGGAACUUGAGGACCGCUGGGCCAAGAGCCCUCCUCCUCCACGGGGGAGUCAGGGGCGUCUGGGGAAGCGAGCCCCCUCCCACACCGGCUCAGGAGCCUCCCCCCCCCCCCCCCCGUGAGCCCUUGCAAGGCCCAUCCUCACUGUCCCAGAGUGCCCAACCCAUGCGCGGCACUGAGUGGCCUGGCCCUGAGCUGGGACAUGCCCACACAGAGGGGGUCCAAAAUGGGGGAGACAGUGGGCUGGCCUCCACGGCCCUCCUGUAGGCAGCCCCCCAGGGGAGGGAGGCUCAGUGCCGAGUGGGCACAAGAGAGCCCAACCCUUGGGAUCCCGUCCGCAUCCCCUUGGGCCCCCGGCCCUCACCUUGAACCCGAUGCCACCCUUCUUACAGCACAGACAGGCCAGCAUGAGGGCAAUGACAGUGAAGAGCCCGGAGAAGGACACGGCCACCACAGCCAGGGAGGACGACCAGGAGAGCUCACUGAGGGGGGCGCCGUCUGCCGAGGAAGAGGGGGUCACGGGGCAGCCUCCAAGGCUCCGGCCCCCCAGGCUCACCCUCUCCCUCCAGGUGCACCCAGGGCCCAGCCAAGCCCCUGCCUCCCCAGCCCGCCCUGACCCUCGCUCUGAGACCUGCCACCCACAGGCACAGCCCCAGGGCUCAGGGCAGAGCGGCCGCCGUGGCCCGGAGCCUGCAGUUCCCCGGACGGCCACUGGGUGCCGCUGCGGCCUCACUCAGAGAACACGGAGGCGGAACCCAAGCUAACGUGGCAUCUGGGAGGGCCGCCUGGAGGCAGUGUGAGCCCGAGGGCCUGGAAAGAUGGCGAACACAGCCUGGACUCCCGCUCAGGUCUCCAAGCUCAUUCCCCACACCCACACGGAAGAUGGAGGGGCCCAGGUCCUGCUGUAAGCACGUGAACCCACACAGAAGGGACCACAGAGUACGGCUCCUUCACGUGAAGACACGAGACGUCAAAGCCAACACGUUCAGGAAAUGGAAACGCCCAUGAGAAGGGACAACAAAAGCUACCGCGCACACAGCAGGCACCGUGUCAUUGCAGGCGCUGGCUCUGCCGACCAGAACCAGCCAGCAUCCCGGCCACCCUGUCCCUGGUCCCGCCUCUGCACAUGCCCUCCUGCAGGGGCCGUUUAUGGCACUGGACCGUCUUUUGCCAGUUACAUUUUUUUUUAAUGUUUAUUUAUUUUUGAGAUAACGCGAGAGACAGAGUGCAAGCAGCGGAGGGGCAGACAGAGGGAGACACAGAAUCCGAAGUGGGCUCCAGGCCCCGAGCUGUCAGCCCAGAGCCCGACGCGGGGCUCGAACCCACGAACCGCGAGACCAUGACCCGAGCCGGAGUUGGACGCUCAACCAAAUGAGCCACUCAGGCACCCCGCCAGUUACAUUUAAGAAAACACUUCCAUCCACUGCAGAAGCAACACAGAAAGUGAGGCAGAGACCCCAGGUCCUGUCACCGUCCACGGGUCAGCCUCCACCCUGCCCCGAACGGGACGCCUCCUCGAUGGCCUGGUGGCCCGGGCACCACGGUCCAACGCGGCCGGGUCUUUCCCACAGGAGGCACCGCGUUCUGGAAAACUGUACGGCCACGUUUAGGAGCAGUGCCUCACAUUUAUGGGGCACCUGCUGUGUACCGAGGUCUCCCUUCCAGGUUGCGGAGGGGACAGAGCAUUUCUGGGGACCUGGAAGGGAGAUGGACAAGGCACAGGUCAGAACAGAACCAGGUGCCGGGCUGGGCUUCCCGUAAAAGGAAAAUGUGACUUGUUUCUGCCAUCAGGUGGGGACAGGUGUCUGGGCGGGACUGUCACAUGACCUAGAUCACCGCCCCCACCACCAGUCGUCUGUCAGCGAGUCCUGUGACCCUAAGGGGGAUGAAACUCUAACCUGGUGACAGAAGCUACAACAAGCAGAGAGGGGGGGUGGCCGUGUGUCUGUGGCUGAUCACACAUGGAAAAGUGGUGAUUGUUACCAGCACGCACGUGCUGCUGCGGGACAUGUGGGGAGCCAGGGCCUGAAGGGACAGCCCGGAGCCAGGCCGGCCGGCCAGAAGACCCCACACAGAACACAGGCGGUGGCGGGAUGGAGGGACCGUGCAGGGGAAGAGCCACGUCCCCACACACCGCAGUAUCUUCAAACUGACAUCUGGAAGUCAAAUCACAGCACCGGAGAAGAAAAGAGGGAGACACCAGGCUUCUUCGUGGAAAAGAAUGUUUAAGCUGAAAGCAACAGAGGGAAUCACAAAAUAUCGAUGGGUUUCGCUCCAUAAAAACGUAUGUUCCAUAAAAGCCCCAAAUUGAGGGCGCAUGGCAAACCAGGAAAAACGAUUUACAGAACACCUAUCACAAGACGGGUAGCAUUACUCUACAGGGCCCACCAUCAGCGAAAAUUAAAAAAAAAAAAUACGUUAAGACCCCAUAACACAAACAAACAGACUAAGCAAAGCCCGCAAGGAAACGAUCAGCCUCGGCUGUAAUCAAAGAGGCGCAACUCGAAACACGAAGUCCGCUUCCGGCCUGAGCGAGUUCCCAGAACCCCCCGUCCUCGCUGAAGCCAGGGCACCAGAAGCAGCCGCCAGGCUCCCCGUGCGAGAAUCGGAGAAUCAACUGGAAAACGGUUCAGAGAUGUGGGUGCAGCUCCUUGGGGACCGAGCUUCUCGUUGGCCAAGUGAUUCCUUGUCUGGGAAUUUAUUUAUUUUUUAAUGUUGAUUUAUUUGGGUGGGAGGGGCAGACAGAGAGAGGGGGACAGAAGAUCCCAAGCAGGCUCCGCACUGUCAGCACAGAGCCCCGUGCGGGGCUCGAGCUCACGAACCGAGAGAUCAGGACCUGAGCUGAAGUCAGACGCUCAACCGACUGAGCCACCCAGGCGUCCCCACCUUGUCUGGGAAUUUCAACCAAGAGACUAACCCGGAGGGUGCACAAGUCCUGAAUAAAUGAACGGAGGAAUGAGAGCGCUAACUCCGAAGACAGACACACGUCCCACGCAUUCGCUACGGUGACGGUUCUAAGAAGGACCAGUAAGGAAGAGUCCACCAGUAAGGAAGGAUUGAACAAAACGGUGUAUCUGCAAAGGAGCCAGAGAAAGUGAGCUGAAGAAGUUUUCAAAGUGGAAAUCUCAACGUGAUGCUACUCAGGAGAAGGAAGACACACGAGGACACGUUUGGGCGCCGGGCAAGUGUCCGUCACGUGACUGUGCGGCCAAGGGGUCGGGGGGCCCCCCCAAACCACGCGCGAGGUCUCCCGAGGGCCAACCAUCAACGGGCGUGGUUGAGUCUAUGUCAGUCACACGUCGAUAAGGUGGAAAGCAAGAGGCAGGACUGCUCCUAAAUCCAGGUCACGGUUGUGUUAAGAAAAAAAAAUUCACCUGGAAGAAAAUCUCUCAAACCGUGAGCGGUGCCCGUCUGGGGCGGCAGAAGCCGCUUACCGCCUGCUCGUUGCUGGCACAUUCCAUAUGGCCGCUGCCGAGCACGCGGUCUCUAGAAUCUAGCGUGUGUCAUCUCCUGUAAUUCUCACUCACAGCCCAUCGUUCCAUCUGGAAAGACCCCCACGGCCGCAGAGCACGCAGAACAGGGCCCCGGCGUCACCGAGUCCUGGGCUCGGCCCCCCACACCCUGUCCAACCUUCAGGGGUCUGAAGCUUCCAGGCCAUUCCUCACCCAGGCGGGCGCCAUCUUCAAAAGCACCACCCACCGAUGGCCCCUCUGAGCCAUCCACGCUGAGCCCCACUUGCCCACGGGCUUGGCGUGAGGGGACGUCCCUGGGGGCCUGAGACACAGGCAGUACUCGGGGGCCAUGCUGAAGGAGCGAGGGCGGGGCCCGUCAACCCUCCAACCUCGAAGCCACGUGCCUCGGUUUCCCCAGUCUCCUCUGGAGAGGCCACCCCCUGCUGUCCACCUGGCAUCUGCUCUGAAGGACGGUCCCCUUUACGUUACGUGAGCUUCACCUCGACUUCAAAGUGUCCAGAGAGCACUCAGACGCCCGUGGAGGCCAGGUCAAGGGUCACGUCCACAACAGAGAGUACUGUCCAUCGAGGCCUGAUGCCCUCUGCUGCUCGCACCACGGAGAGCUCACUCCCCAGCAGGAGCAGCCGAGGGGUCCCCAGCCCAGCCCAGUGCGCCCCGGGCUCCUCACGUGGCCUGCCCAGGCUGCCCAGCCCACGGGGACUCCAGCGCGGGGAUCAGCCGCAGGCCCGGGGCGGGGCCUCGGCCGGGCGUCUGAGGACAUCCUGGCACCAGUCCCCCUGCCCCCAUGCCCGGUGACGCAAACGGGGUCCUGCACAGGAAGGAACCACAGCCAGGAGGGCGUUCUGCUGAGUUAACAGGAUGAGGCAAGUGAACAGUGUUAAGGGUGGCAGUUUGCGUGCCCAGGGUGUCAGGGGCCAACGUCCCAGGGAGGCCCCACUGACCCCAUCGUCUGCCCCUGACACCCCCAUCUCCCAGCCCCCUGCCGAAGCAAGCAGGAGUCAGCAGGAUUCUGGGGUUCCCGGGGCAGGGGGGUGGCCGGCAGGAGAGGUCCCCACCCCCACCAGCCGUCCUGGAAGCAGAGCCAGUGCUGGGGGCGGAGGGGGCUGAGGUCCUCCACGACGGUUGGUCUGUGGGCCCAGACGUGGAAGUUUUCCCUAGAGGAGCGGAAUUCUGGAGUGGGGACACGGGCGCCCUCCACCAGGUCUGGGCCCUCGUGUGGCCAGGCGCCUCCCAGGGGGACCCAGGCUCGUGCGUUUCCUCCCUUCUUCCCCCCGAUCUCAGAGAUCAGCAGGAACGAUGACAGGACGGACCGGGGACUGAAACCAGAGCCCCCACUUGUCUGUAAGGGGGGCUGCAGGCUGCCGGGGUGGGAGUGGCAGCCAGAGACACACGCGGGCCCCCUGAGACGAAAGCCACACCUGCAGGAGACGCCCCACAAGAGCCGGGGCUGUGUCCAGAACCGUCACGCGCGGCCCCGAGGCUCACCUGACCACGUCCUCCCCACCUCAGAACCCGACUCUGGGCAGGGUCGCAGCUGCCCAGCCUCCGCCCCCCGCAGGUGCGUCUGGGUGGGGAGGCUGUGGCCCACUGCCCCCACCGCAGAACCUUCCAAACCUCUCACCCCCGAGUCCCGGUCUCCUGCUCUGUGCAGGACAGGGGGCGGGGGACGUGCACACAGGGCUGGACGGUGAGCAGGUGAUCUGAACAGUCGUGCACCCCAAAGACAGAGGUGGGGCCGUGAGGUGAAGGCACGCCCCCUCCAAGAGAGACAAGUGUCCACCUAGAGCGACAGGCCUGGAGCCGGCGGUCACGGCUCAAAGCCCUGCAGGUGCAGACGGCCUGCCCGGGCGGCUGUGGCCAGGGGCCAAGUGGGGUCACGGCAGCCGCUUACCCGAGAGGGCUCUUUCCGGAGCCCCCGACCACAGAUCCACGGAGGGCGGCCCGGCAGCCGGCGUGGCCGGUAUCAGCCCCUUCCUGCUGUCGCUGUGGGUCGGGACCUAGAACCUCACCCAGAGCCUAAGAGGGGGAAGCCUGGGUUCCAGCUCCCCAGGGGCAGGAUACCUCCGCGGGGGGCCCGGGGCCUUCCUUCCGGAGAAGGGGGGAGGGACAGCACACAGGUCCCCACGUCCUCACACACGGGCACUCACACGCACGUGCGCGCACACACACACACACACACACACACACUUAAGUACAUACACAUUUGGUCCUACGCUCACAAGCUUUCAUGUGUUCAGUCUCCCACCCACGCACACCCAGGCACACCUCUAGGCCCUCACAUGCACACGCACGUGCCUGCUCCCAGAUACGUGCACACACACUUGCACGCUCACACCUGCACACACACGCACUCCCUGCCAUCACGCGCGUGCUCUGGAGCGCACACUGGCGGUUUGGGGGGGGGGCACACCCCUGGGGGCUCCCUCCAGGUUCCGCCCCAGGACCGAACCCCAGGGCCAGAUGAGCAGCCGGCCGGCUCUGCCCCACAUCAGGCCAGCUUGUCACAAACACAGGGACGGAAGGAAGUUCUGCAAUCUGCACGCUGUCCAGUGACACAUGAGAAAGCCCAGGCCUGGCCACCAUCCACAUCAGAGCCCCCUCCUGCACCAUGGGUGCACUCUCACAGCUGGUCCUGAGGAGGGGGCCUGGGGGUCUGGGCGAGGACCGCUAACAUGGGUGCCACGGCCUGCCUCUAUGCUCCCCUCUGGCUGACACACAGUCCCCUCUGCACAAAUGCUCCUCCCACUUGGUCCCCGGCCUCGUCCUCCUGUCCUUCUGAGACAUGCAGCACGUCCAAGGCCCGCACUCCCCCUGGGGGCCUGUGGGUGACACCCCGGGAAAGCAGGCCGACUGUUGUGUUCACCCGGGGACCCCGUUCUGACACACGCCCGGCACGAGGCUGCCUCGAGGGGCCGGAGCUGGAUAGAUGAGUGCUUUCUCUUGAGCCCGGCGGGGCGGGGGCUGCUGGGGGACAGCAGCUUGGUAGAGGCCAAGGGGCCACCAGGCCAGGCUCGCCCCAGCCCAGAUCUCCUGACAUCCUUGCCUCCAAGUUUCUGCCUGGACCCCAUGCAGGGCAGAGUUGGGGUGAGGCCGGCUAGGGAAGGAGGAAGGCAGGGACGUCGCCCAGGCCAGGGGCAGCCUCGGCCACGAGCAGGAAUGCGCCCAUGGGCCCAGCAGAAGGAGCCCAGGCCCCACCGAGGACCAGGACAGCCUCUUCCAAGGCUACGCGGCUUUGAUCUGAGCAAGAUCGUUCCUUUGGGUGGAUCACCCACGGGCGCUGGAAGCUGCCUCUUGGGGGGGUGCGCAGCCCGCUCAGAAGCG